GAUGAACGCUGGCGGCGUGCCUAAUACAUGCAAGUCGAGCGAACAGACGAGGAGCUUGCUCCUCUGACGUUAGCGGCGGACGGGUGAGUAACACGUGGAUAACCUACCUAUAAGACUGGGAUAACUUCGGGAAACCGGAGCUAAUACCGGAUAAUAUAUUGAACCGCAUGGUUCAAUAGUGAAAGACGGUUUUGCUGUCACUUAUAGAUGGAUCCGCGCCGCAUUAGCUAGUUGGUAAGGUAACGGCUUACCAAGGCAACGAUGCGUAGCCGACCGGAGAGGGUGAUCGGCCACACUGGAACUGAGACACCGUCCAGACUCCUACGGGAGGCAGCAGUAGGGAAUCUUCCGCAAUGGGCGAAAGCUUGAUGGAGCAACGCCGCGUGAGUGAUGAAGGUCUUCGGAUCGUAAAACUCUGUUAUUAGUGAAGAACAAAUGUGUAAGUAACUAUGCACGUCUUGACGGUACCUAAUCAGAAAGCCACGGCUAACUACGUG
rnacentral:rRNA from 1 species